CUGUGGUGAGGUCGAGGGACUCGCCAUUUUGGAUGCUGAGCGGCUAAUCGGAAGUCUGCUUCUUCCGUUUUCGCGUCUGGAUCCCUCCAGUUUUUCCAGGAAGAGCAGGACAACAUGCUGGGCUCUGGUUUCAAAGCUGAGCGCUUACGAGUCAAUUUGAGAUUAGUUAUAAAUCGUCUUAAACUGUUGGAGAAAAAAAAAACGGAACUGGCUCAGAAAGCAAGGAAGGAGAUUGCUGACUAUCUGGCUGCUGGAAAGGAUGAGCGAGCACGCAUUCGUGUGGAGCACAUAAUUCGGGAAGACUACCUUGUGGAGGCCAUGGAGAUCCUGGAGCUGUACUGUGACCUGCUGCUGGCUCGGUUUGGCCUUAUCCAGUCUAUGAAGGAGCUAGAUUCUGGUCUAGCUGAAUCUGUGUCUACACUGAUCUGGGCUGCUCCUCGGCUGCAGUCAGAAGUGGCUGAGUUGAAAAUAGUUGCUGAUCAGCUCUGUGCCAAAUAUAGCAAGGAAUAUGGCAAGUUGUGCAGGACCAACCAGAUCGGGACUGUGAAUGACAGGCUGAUGCACAAACUGAGUGUAGAAGCCCCACCCAAAAUCCUAGUGGAGAGAUACCUGAUUGAAAUUGCCAAGAAUUACAAUGUACCCUAUGAACCUGACUCUGUUGUCAUGGCAGAAGCUCCUGUUGGGGUGGAGACAGACCUUAUUGAUGUUGGAUUUACGGAUGACGUGAAGAAAGGUGGUCCUGGAAGAGGAGGAGGGGGCGGGUUCACAGCCCCUAUUGGUGCGCCUGAUGGGAUUGUGCCCAUGCCUAUGCCCAUGCCCAUGCCAUCUCCAAAUGCUCCCUUCGCAUACCCACUGCCCAAGGGACCAGUAAGUAUGUGUGUAUAAAGAAAGUGUGCACGUAAGCUUAAGGAAAUGUUGCAGAAGAGACCAGAUGGGCUCUGGACACCCUGAAAAGUAGGUUGCUAGGAAUACAGAACAAUAACAACACUUGUAUUAACUGAGUAGUCAAGCAAGUGUAUUGAGGAACAAUAGCAGAUCCAGUAAAGUACUUGGCUUUAGCUGCAAGAACUGAAGUAGAAAAAUCUAUAGCUAGUACUAAGAAAACCAGUUUAGGGAAGGUUAACAGCUGGGAACCUGUUGCAGUAAUGUUAGUAGGGGUUAGUGUUGUUGUUUUUUGUUUUGUUUUCUUGAAAACAAGAGCAUCCCUUUAUUACCAGGCUGAAAAGCCGUUGUUGCUAGGAUGUUGGUUUUAUAGUAGGUCAUUGAUAGCAAUCAAGUGAUUCAGUUUUUUUUCCCCUUGAUGCAGACAUUUAAAGUACUCAAUGUGAUAAUUGAAGAAUAACUGUUGUAGAUCUUUACGCUUGUAGUCUUGUGACCACAUGUGAUUUCUUUUGAGCCUUCUUUUUCCUUUGAGGAUCUCGAAUGUAUACAUAUGUACAUAGUGUGUUUUUACACAUAUUUCUUCCCAGAGCAUCUAGAAGUUACAGAUUGGAAGGCGGUGUUUCUGAUACUGCUUUUCUCUUGCAGUCGGAUUUCACUGGAUUGCCAGUGGGGACUUACCAGGCCUUUCCUAACAUUCACCCACCUCAGAUACCAGCAACUCCCCCAUCCUAUGAAUCUGUAAGUGCCUGAGCCUUUUGGUAAACAGCAGGAGAGUGAAUCCCAUGAAGAGAGCAAAAUAAUGACAACAGGGAAGGCAAACUUUUGAUAAACUUAGUAUGGGUUUGGUCUUGGUUCUGGGUUCCUUGUUGCUUUCAUACCGCCCUGGAGAUGGGGAGUGCUGUUGGUGGCAUUUGUGGUGGGCAUGCUAUAUCAGCACUGAAGCCAGGCAUCCGGAAGGAGCUGCACUUAGGAAGUUACAUACUCACAUGGUGGCACAUGCCUGCAGUCUCAGCGCUUUGAAGGAUCAGGAGUUCAAGUCAGCCUGGACUACAUGGGCCCAUCUACAACACUGAGGAAGCAGUGUACCUCUAGAGCACUUAACGUAGACACGUUUGUCUUAUUACCCAGUCACAAUCACACUGGGCUGUUGUAGUUUGUAUUAGAGCACUAGGCUUUUUGUUUUUUAUGUUCACAACAUUCAUGGGAAAGGAUAGUAAUGGGGGAUUUGACAUAACCAAAAGUGUCCAGUUAGUCAAUUUUGGCCUGUAGCAUUUAGUUCACAUUUUAUUCUUGUAGUUAAAACUUAAAAUAGAGCAGACCUGUGGCAGUUUGGGAGCUGGAGUAGAUCACCAGUCUAAGAUCUUGUUUCAGAAUGAAGAAUAAAACAAAAACCACGGAAGUAGUUGAGCGGUGGGGUGGGGGUGGGGGGUAUAUGGAAAUUUCCAUAAAUGGCUCAUGUGGUAAAGAUGCCUUGAACUGUGUCUCUGCUUCAGAAUCACUUGUUUUCUGCCAGUCUUGCGUAUACACACAUGACUCAUGCACUCAUGCCUUUGGAGCUGUUUCCAGCUUACGAUCUGCUUAGAAAACAAGCUGGUGUGGGAUGUGCUAUGUAAGUUACUCACUAGGAAGCUCUCCCUGGUCCUGAGUCUGCUUAGCCUCCUUCCCAUUGCUUUCCAUCUCUAGUCGAUGUGCUUUCUACUGGAACUGAGUCUUUCUCAAGCUUUAGCAUUCCAUAUAUCAAAACAUGGCCAACUGUUUGUGGAGUGAGGUGGAUCUUCAGUCCUUGAGGCCUUGGUUCUUGUAGAUUUCCUAGUUUGCUUUGCCUGGAAGCUGAAAGGUGUCACAGUAUGGUAAGACUUUUCUCUCUUUGCUUAGUAAGUAGGUCUGAGGUUGGCAUGGUGUCUUCUGUGGUUCAGAGAAGCAUGGAGAGACUAGGAGAGAGCAAAAGUCUGUUGCUUUUGGUGAAUAGCUUAGCUUUUGGAACAAGGAGCUGGUGUUAGUACUUUGUCUAGAGAUGUCAUUCAUUGUUUUUUCCUUUGGUAACAGUCUUUGUUUUGCAGGUUGAUGACAUUAAUGGUGAUAAAAAUGUUUCUUCUGCACAGAUUGUUGGACCCAAGCCAGAAGCUCCUGCAAAGCCCCCUUCCAGACCCAUGGAUAAUUACAACACCUUUGUACUGCCAGAGUUGCCAUCAGUACCAGACACACUCCCGACUGCAUCUGCUGGAGCCAGUACCUCAGCAUCAGAAGACAUAGACUUUGAUGAUCUUUCCCGGAGAUUUGAGGAACUGAAAAAGAAAACCUAGGUCUCUUAAACCAGGCAGCAUCCACAUUGUGGAAGUUGACUCUGAACAGUUCUCCUUGUAACAAUGAAUCUCCAUGAAAUUCCGUUUCCUCUGUUAACCAUCACUGAGCACUCUUCCUUGGGGCUCUCCUGCUGCUCUACCAGUUGUGUUGCUUUCCAGUUCUCUAGUGAUGCUGAGAGACUAACAGCUAGGGACUCUGGCUGGAGCACUUGGCUCCUAUUGGCUGUCUUCCUGUCACAUGGAUCCUUGGCUCUUUCCCGGCCCUUCCAUUCCCAGGGAGUGAGAAGUAUUGUGGGUAGAGUUGCCAAAGAUGGCUGGACCAUGGAAGAGAGUUUCAACGUUGACUUGUAAAUACUCCCUCUGCGUGGGGGUGAUUGUAGAGAGAAUCAAGGCUGCCAUGUGUUUUCUCAGAUGAGUCAGAAGAUGGCUCAGGAAGCCACUGUCACGGUUCCUGGAGGCUGGGCCCUCUCAUUGACAUGUACACUACUCCUCGCUGCAGGGCACUGUUCCACCUGGAUCCAGUUGCAAAGUCUGUUUGGAAAAGUUCUCUUAGUUUUACUGGAUUCUCAGGGAGCCCUCUGUGGCCUUUUCCUUUAUUUUGAGUGCUGUUUCCUUUUUAGGAAAGAGCAGCACUGUGGAAAUUUGCUUUUCCCCAUAGCACAUUAGGAAGGAAGUGCAGGUCAUUAUCUAAGCUCAGCCUGGGCUUCCAGUUGCCUUAAUAGAAGUACUCAAGUCUCUUGGGUAGAGAUCUGGAAGCCUACAGGAGAGGAGGGGUACAUGUUUUCAUUUGAAAACUUUUAUGAUUAAGAGAAUCUUUACAAACUGGUAUCUUUUAAGUUUUAGUGCCAUGUAGCUGUAGUUCACUGCUUUCCUGGGUGGAUGAGACUUCAUUACGGUGACUUAUGUGCUGCUUUGCCCCUAGCCAAGGCUGUCCUUCCCCAAGAGGUUAGCUUUGGGAUUGGAAGAUGAGAUUUUUGCUUACCUGUAAUAUUUCUGUAUAUACUUGUUUCCAGCAACUUCAAUGUCAGUGUUUUUGAUUUAUUUGUAUCUCAUAGCUCUAGCUGCUAAUAAAGAUCCCAUGUCCUGCUUU